CGUCUGCUUACAUUGUUUAUUAGUUUGUUAUUAUCAGUGGGUUUGAGCUUUGAGAAUAAAAAAUGAGAAGUUUAAGAUUAGAGGCGAAACGGAAAAUUAUUGAUUCAGUCAGUUUUGAAAGUAACCAGGAUACUGUUACCGACGGCUUGAAGAAGAAGUUGAGGGAAGGAUUAUACGAUAGUCAAACUGUUGUUCCUCAUCCAAAGAAAUCAAGGCGUAUUUCUUUAAAAGAAAAACAGAGAUUACGUAGAGAAAACCAAACUGCUGAAGAGCAUCAAAUUGCUAAAACUAAUAACAAUUAUGAACACCUUUGUUCUCCACAACAUUAGAAAAAACUUGAAACUCUGUCAAUGGAAACACCUCAUGAUUUGACACAUAAACACCGUGAAAAUGAAAUUGAAGAAGUAUCCAUUUCUGAAUCCAUUGCUGAUUUUUCAUUGUCCCACUCCCACGAUGAAGAUGAUGCUGUAUGUGGUACGUUUUUUCCCCUUUUUAUUUAAAGGUCGUCAUCCAAAUUGUGAUGAAUUUGGCAUAGGGUGUUCGUCUGAAAAUUAUAUUUUUGGUCCGAUAAAUGGACCUUUUUAUCUUGCAAUAAAUACCCACCAAUUGGUGAUAAACUAUGUGCUCCCUUUAACAAAAACCCACUAUAUCCAACCGGCUAGUCAAAUACCCUGCAUAUGCUGUUUUUAAUGCCAUAUAAAUAUAACCUCUUUUUCC